rnacentral:lncRNA from 1 species
CACCCUAUGGCCACGGCGCGGGGUCACGCUGCGGCCGGGCGCAGCUCCAGGCCUCUCCUCCGUCUCCUCCUCUGAGUCAUCCCGGCUGUGCUCCCUGGGGUGCCCCACAGCUGCGGACCCCCUCCCGCCCCGUGGACUCCUCGUUUGACCCCGUGGCAGCGCCCCCAUCCCCACGGCACCCCCUCCUCGUGGCCCCGUGGUUGGGGGCUGUUUCCCCCCCCCCUCCCCACCGCUCCCCAACGCCCCCCAAACGCCGGAGGUUGGCGGGGGGUCACCGUGGAGGACGGCCCCACUGUGCCGCUAUGGGGCACGGAGCUAUCUGGAGGCUCUGCUGGCCGACCUGCGCUCCUUUCUGCUCCUCCCUCGACCGGGAGAGCCUCAGCGCCGCAGCCCGAGCCAAGAAGCAGUCGGUGGGAGAGCUGCUGCAACGGCUGCAGGGCCCCGGCGGGUGAGCGCAACGGGGAGCAGGCGGUGCCGGGGGGGCACGGAGGGGGGCUGUGACUCAGAUCCCCCCCCCCUCACCCCGCAGCAGCAGCAGAGGAUGCAGAGUACAUGAUGAUGCGCUGCCUCUCGCCCUCCUCGGGGACCCCGCAGGGCCGGGAUGG